rnacentral:sRNA from 1 species
CUUCACCCUGUUGUGGCCUCUUUAUCCUUCAUGUGUGUGUCCUAUCCACCAGUCCAUCUUUCCAUGAUUGAUUUGCACACGGCCACUUCAGACCUCCCUACUGCCCAAUGUAUCUACUGUUAUCUUCCUAAAACUCAUGAGCUUUAACCAGGAAAUUGGACUUUGAAUUCAAAACAAGAAAAACAAUUAGAAGACCUGAAGUACAGGGAGUGCUCUAUUUUACUUCUUGCUGUUUGUGUUUAUUUCCCCAGAGACAGAGCACUGUGGAGGGGACCCCCAUUCCCAAGCAUGGUGUCCAAUAUACUGAAAGAAUAACUGGGCUCAGUAAUGCACCUAGAGACUCAGAUUCCAGAUUUGCCUGCUUGCUUUACUAUCCAAAACAACCAUGACACAUGACUUCUCUGGCAGGGUGUUGGCCAAGACAAAUUGAACUAUAGAAGAUUCUUGACUUGCCAACGUUCAAAUGAUGAACUUUCAAAAAUAGCAGCGAAACUGGCUGCGGAGCAAAAGCUUUUCAGCUCUGCACAACACCAACAGAUGGCGCUAAGUGUCACCCUUGUGGAGAGCAGAGGGACUCGGAAGGGCCUUUGGAAAUCUAAUCUGGUUUUGAGUUCUUGGUGGGAAAAUGCACCUUUAAGUUGGGAGAGUUUGAAGACAUUGCCAAGACACGUGCUGCAGCAUUUGAUCUUUUCUGCCACACUGGCUUCUGCAAUUAACAUGCUUUCACCAGUGAAACUCAGGUUAGGGGGAGAGCAUUCUUCCAGGUUUAUGCCUGUUGUCAUGGAGUAAUUAUAAUUCAUGUCUCCGUUCACAGUGUCCUGGUUUGUAGAAUAAAAUAUCUGGUCCACCCACCCA